rnacentral:rRNA from 1 species
CCUACGGGAGGCAGCAGUGGGGAAUAUUGCACAAUGGGGGAAACCCUGAUGCAGCGACGCCGCGUGAGUGAAGAAGGAUUUCGGUAUGUAAAGCUCUAUCAGCAGGGAAGAAGAAAGACGGUACCUGACUAAGAAGCCCCGCCUAACUACGUGCCAGCAGCCGCGGUAAUAGGUAGGGGGCAAGCGUUAUCCGGAUUUACUGGGGGUAAAGGGAGCGUAGACGGCUGUGCAAGUCUGAAGUGAAAGCCCAGGGCUCAACCCUGGGACUGCUUUGGAAACUGUGAAUCUAGAGUGCUGGAGAGGUAAGUGGAAUUCCUAGUGUAGCGGUGAAAUGCGUAGAUAUUAGGAGGAACACCAGUGGCGAAGGCGGCCUACUGGACAGUAACUGACGUUGAGGCUCGAAAGCGUGGGGAGCAAACAGGAUUAGAUACCCCUGUAGUC